AGCUGUAUAUCUUAUCAUAAUUAAUUGUUAGCGAGCAGCAAAUUAAAAAGAGAAAAGGUUAUUUCCUUGAUUACGUCUCAAUUAAUUUUAAGUACCUUUUUAUAUGAAAAUUCAUUAAUCUUGAUUCUUUAUUAUGUAGAUAUAAUUUGGAGAAUUUUUAUUCGAUGAUGAAACUGAUAUAUAUACAACAAUGAGAUUCAAGCCAUGUGCAAUUAUUGUAUGAUUUUAUUAUAAAAUUUCUCCCAAAUUAUAUGCUAAGUGAAAGGUUGCAUUUCGUUACAUACCCACAAACAGAAUGUAUAGUGCCAAAAUGAUCGAAACUGAAGCCACCCCAAAGGCAAACAUUCUUUUUUCUUGCUGCAAGAGAAUACUAUUUAUAAUAAUAAGUAUUUGGAUAUUCAUAGUGAUGGUCGAUCGCAUGCUUUUUGAGACCCAUUACUGAAUGUAUGUUUUCAUUUUGUAUUUAGAGAGAGAGAGAGAGAGA
rnacentral:misc_RNA from 1 species